UACAAAUCUGUACAAAGGAGAAAAAAGGAGUUUGAAAAUGUCAACAACAAUGCAUUUUCUAUUUAUGUUGCUGAUUUUUGGUUUUUUCGCUAUGUUUAAUACUUCCCAAGUCUCUCAUAAGUGGCUGAAAAAUCUGAAAAAACCUCGAUUUACCAACAGAGGGGUUGGGACGAGGAUUUUUUGGCCAAAACGAAGCAUAGAUCAAAGAGAUUACAUGACACAUGGUCAUGUAUAUAAAGAUGGAUUACCGGACAGAUAUACGGUAGGUUACAGUAAAAAUAUAGGCAACAAAAGACAUAAUGAAGUAGGCAGAACAGUGUUGCCAAGCACAUAAUUGUACAUUAAAAUAGUAUUAAGUAAAAUGCAACUGUCAUUAUCUGACACACAGAGAGAUAACCUUAGUAUAGAUUACAUUGUGGCAAUAAAUCUGUUAAUAAACUUUUGCACUUUAAGUGU